rnacentral:rRNA from 1 species
GCUGAAACACCGGUUCUCGUACGAUCACCGAAGUUAAGCAUCGUAGAGCCAGGUCAGUACUUAGAUGGGGGACCGCUUGGGAACACCUGGUACUGUAAG